rnacentral:rRNA from 1 species
UACGAAGGGGGCUAGCGUUGUUCGGAAUUACUGGGCGUAAAGCGUGCGCAGGCGGCUUCUCAAGUCAGGGGUGAAAGCCCAGAGCUCAACUCUGGAAUUGCCUUUGAGACUGAGUGGCUUGAGUACGAGAGAGGUGAGUGGAAUUCCCAGUGUAGAGGUGAAAUUCGUAGAUAUUCGCAAGAACACCAGUGGCGAAGGCGGCUCACUGGCCCGAUACUGACGCUGAGGCGCGAAAGCCAGGGGAGCGAACGGG